GCCUUCGUGGUGCAGUGGUCAGCACACUCGGCGCGUAUUCGAGAGGUCCAUGGUUCGAGUCCCGGCGAAGGCA
rnacentral:tRNA from 1 species